UGCUGUUCCACAAGGCCCAAAGCAGCAGUCCCCAGGCACCAAGCAGAAGGCCUACAGCUUGCCUGGCAUCCUGGGCCACCUUUGGGACUACCUUAUGCAAAGAGGGAGAACCUGGCUCCUUACAGCUCCCUUGACAAUUUUCUCCAUUCUCUGGCUGCUGACAACUGCCCGUGCCCACUGGAGAAGAUUAAGAAGACCUCGGGGACAGAGAACGGGACAAGCGGACCCAGCUUCCUUAGGAACAGAGGAAACGGACAACCUAAAUGCUCUUGACCUGCUCUGCCAGAUGGACGCCUACAUAACCUUAAUGGAGAGACUUAUGACGAUCCUCAUGCAGCACCAUGUGAAAAAUGUCAGGAGCCAGCAGUGCAGGAAGACAGCGCACAGCACGGGGGACAGGAAGAGCCUCUCCACAGACUCCUGAGGGAGCUGGCAGAGGUGACUGCCAAGCCGCUCUCGGCCAUCUACCAGCCCUCCUGAUUAACUGGAGAGGUCAACAAGGCCAAGUGGCGGGUCCUGCACUUUGGCCACAACAAGCCCAUGCAGCGCUAUAGGCUUGGGGAUGAGUGGCUGGAGGACUGUGAAGAGGAAAGUGUCCUGCGGGUGUUGGCUGAUGAAAGGCUCAACAUGAGCCGGCACCGUGCACUUGCAGCCCCCAAGGCCAAGCGUUUCCUGUGCUGCAUUAAGACAAACGUGAUUAGCAGGUCAGGGGAAGUGAUUCUGCUCCUCUACUCUGCUCUCACAAGACUCCACCUGCCGCACUGCAUCCACUUCUGGGGCCCCCAGCACAAGAAAGACAGCAGAGCAGGUCCACUGAUGCUGAGCACCGUGCCUCCAAGUGGCUGUGCUGACCGGGCCUUUCUCAAUGCCCCAUUCGGCUCUGGAACAAGGUCAGCAAGGCUGUUGUUCCAGAUGGCCCAAAGCAGCAACCCUCAGGCACC
ensembl:lncRNA